UACGGGGGGGGCAAGCGUUGUUCGGAAUUACUGGGCGUAAAGGGCUUGUAGGUGGCCAACUAAGUCAGACGUGAAAUCCCUCAGCUUAACUGGGGAACUGCGUCUGAUACUGGAUGGCUUGAGUUUGGGAGAGGGAUGCGGAAUUCCAGGUGUAGCGGUGAAAUUCGUAGAUAUUGGGAAGAACACCGGUGGCGAAGGCGGCUCUCUGGACCGAGACUGACGCUGAGGCGCGAAAGCGUGGGGAGCAAACAGG
rnacentral:rRNA from 1 species